AGCGAACGCUGGCGGCAGGCCUAACACAUGCAAGUCGAACGGAUCCUUCGGGAUUAGUGGCGGACGGGUGAGUAACACGUGGGAACGUGCCCUUUGGUUCGGAACAACUCAGGGAAACUUGAGCUAAUACCGGAUGUGCCCUUCGGGGGAAAGAUUUAUCGCCAUUGGAGCGGCCCGCGUCUGAUUAGCUAGUUGGUGGGGGAAAGGCCCACCAAGGCGACGAUCAGUAGCUGGUCUGAGAGGAUGAUCAGCCACAUUGGGACUGAGACACGGCCCAAACUCCUACGGGAGUCAGCAUUGGGGAAUCUUGCGAAAUGGGCGAAAGCCUGACGCAGCCAUGCCGCGUGAAUGAUGAAGGUCUUAGGAUUGUAAAAUUCUUUCACCGGGGACGAUAAUGACGGUACCCGGAGAAGAAGCCCCGGCUAACUUCGUGCCAGCCGCCGCCGUAACAC
rnacentral:rRNA from 1 species